UCGAAUAUCGUGUAACGGCUAACAUUGCCGCCUCUCAUCGUAAUGAAAUAUUGUUUCUAUAUAUGUGAUCGCGGCAGCUCGGGGUUCGAUUCCCCGUAUCCGAA